AGCUGUUUAAAAUGUUUAGACAGCUAGUUGCAGUAACUAAAAAUUUCUUACCCAAUGGUUUUGGCUGCUGCAGCUUGCUGAACAUAUGCUGGCAAGGAUUCUAUCAGGUGCAAAGAGCCUGCUUCUGAACAGAUGAUACAAUAUAGAAAUCAGAUACAGUACCUCAUAGCUUUCCCAAAGUUUUGUUUUUGAUUUGAGUAGGAGCCAGGUAGAACAUUCUUAAUCAGAUUUCCCAAGAAAAAACAUUUCCAAAUUGUCCAACUUUUAAACAGCAGCAGUAUUUGACUUGUAUAGCUAUUUUUCAUUUCAGUAGUAAAGGGCAGGGACUUUGAUUUUUUGACUUUUCAGCAAUGUUGGUGUAUGUUUUCUUUUGAAUAACACAGUCCUCUGCCCAGCAUUCCCAGCAUAUGCAACUACAAUCAAUGGUGAAGUUUUAUAAUGGGAUCUACCUCCUUAGAACCGCAGGCUCAAGUUUCUGAAAUUUGGAAUCUGAUGGAUCAAUGGUAAAAGGUUGCAAGAUUAAUCAAUCAAUAAACUACUACUACCACAUUAUUAUCCAGAUCCAGAGGAAGACUAUACAGCACUCAUAGAGGAUGCAUCCCCUUUUAUACUCCUGAUGAUAUAUCUCAGCUUUUAAGAUCAAUAUAGAGUAGGACUAAUGGAAAAUGUGGAAAGUUGUUUCAGCCCAAGUAUUUCCAAUAAUGUGAGGAUACCACCAAUUUCCAGGAAUUCAAGAAUAUACCUCUGGCUGCAAAAAUUUAAAGAACAAAACAAAAUGCUUUAUGGCAAUUCUGUAUAUGUGUGUGUGUGUGCAUGUGUGUAUAAAGAAUACUAUUUAACACUACUUCACUUACUCCCAGAGAUGCUGUUGAUGCCUUCUCAGUAAACUGUCACCAUUCUCAAUGUUUCUCUUUUUUGUGAUGACAUACAAGUUAGCAAUGCUUUUAUCACAGAAAAUUAGAACUUUCAAUUUCCAUUUAACAUGCAGCAAUUUGCAUCCCAUUCAGACAAACUGAAAGGGAUAGUGGUUCAGAUUUCAUCAAAAUGCUUUCAAGGGAAUUGCUUCUAUCCUUGGUAUGCAGUUAUACUGCAUAAUUUCAAAUGUGAUAAAAUCUGCAAAUGUAUCAUAAAGAAUUAUAUAACAUUUCACCAAUCUGGGAUAGGCUACUAUUUAGGCAGUAUAUCCAUGAUGCCACCAACGAAUAUUUAAAACAGUAACCAUAUUUUAUUUUCAAGAACUUGUAAAUAAGUACUGGUAAAUGUCUUCAGAAAGCAAAGUGCAGAAAACAGAAAUUCAUCAAACAAGAAAAUGCACAAGCAUAACCAACAGAACUUCCUAUACAGAUAGUCCUCAACUUAGAACCAUUCAUUUGGUGACCAUUUGAAGUUACAACAGCACUGAAAAAAUGACGUAUGACCAUUGUUCACACUGAUGACCAUUGCAGCAUUCCCAUGGUCAUAUGAUCAAAAUUUGGACACUUUGCAUUGCAUGUAUUUAUGGUUGCAAAUGUCCCAUGAUCAUGUGAUCACCUUUUCACUCUUCUAGCAAGCAAAGUCAAUGGGGAAGCCUCAUUCACUUAACAGCUAUGCUACUAAUUUAACAACUGCACUGAUUCACUUAACAAUUGUGGCAAGAAGUGUCAUAAAAUGGGGCAAAAUUCAGUUUACAACUAUUUUGCUUAGCAACAGAAAUUUUGGGCUCAUAACUACUUGUAUAUCCUUUGAUAGCACAAGGAGAAGAUAAAGAACAUUCCUUCUUUCAACAACAAAGACUAAAAAUUGUAAGUUUCCUCCAACUCCUGAAAAUGGUACAUUUACUCACCCACUUGCAGCUGAAAGAAAGAUGCCAAUUGAUUUUAACUGUUUUUCCAGGCAUGUUCCGUACAUAUAGCUAUUAUGACUUAGUUAAGGCUUUUAUUUUAAUAUAUUCUGCUGAAUAAACCUUAGCUGAAUUUAUUUUUUCCUUAUCCUCUUUGUUCUUUUUAAAGCCAUUUACAAAAAUUUUGUGUAUGGGCGUAACAAGUUAUUUUGUCAUGAAAGAAUAAAAAAAGUGAAUACCCUUUCAGAAAUUUAUUUCUUUAUCUGAGACUACAACUUUCAAAACUGUGCUUCUGGGGUAAUUAAAUAUAUAGCCCAUCCUGGUAAUUACAACAUUGUUUCACAAUAUUUUCUUG